UACGAAGGGGGCAAGCGUUGUUCGGAAUUACUGGGCGUAAAGGGCGCGUAGGCGGCCUACUAAGUCGGACGUGAAAUCCCUCGGCUCAACCGAGGAACUGCGUCCGAUACUGGUGGGCUUGAAUCCGGGAGAGGGAUGUGGAAUUCCAGGUGUAGCGGUGAAAUGCGUAGAUAUCUGGAGGAACACCGGUGGCGAAGGCGGCAUCCUGGACCGGUAUUGACGCUGAGGCGCGAAAGCCAGGGGAGCAAACGGG
rnacentral:rRNA from 1 species